AUACGUAGGGUGCAAGCGUUAAUCGGAAUUACUGGGCGUAAAGCGUGCGCAGGCGGAUUUGUAAGACAGAGGUGAAAACCCCGGGCUCAACCGGGGAACUGCCUUUGUGACUGCAAGGCUAGAGUACGGCAGAGGGGGGUGGAAAUCCGCGGGUAGCAAGGAAAUGCGUAGAUAUGCGGAGGAACACCUAUGGCGAAGGCAAUCCCCUGGGCCUGUACUGACGCUCAUGCACGAAAGCGUGGGGAGCAAACAGGAUUAGAUACCCUGGUAGUCCACGCCCUAAACGAUGUCAACUGGUUGUUGGGUCUUCAUUGACUCAGUAACGAAGCUAACGCGUGAAGUUGACCGCCUGGGGAGUACGGCCGCAAGGUUGAAACUCAAAUGAAUUGACGGGG
rnacentral:rRNA from 1 species